rnacentral:rRNA from 1 species
GACGUAGGGCGCGAGCGUUGUCCGGAUUUAUUGGGCGUAAAGAGCUCGUAGGCGGCUUGUCGCGUCGACUGUGAAAACCCGUGGCUCAACCAUGUGGUCUGCAGUCGAUACGGGCAGGCUAGAAUUCGGUAGGGGAGACUGGAAUUCCUGGUGUAGCGGUGAAAUGCGCAGAUAUCAGGAGGAACACCGAUGGCGAAGGCAGGUCUCUGGGCCGCAACUGACGCUGAGGAGCGAAAGCAUGGGGAGCGAACAGG